UGGAAAUCAACAAUAUUGCAGAGAUUUUGGAGGUGACAACAAAAGUUUUACAAAAUGGUGAAGUUUACAGCUGAUGAGCUCCGACGGAUUAUGGACUA